rnacentral:rRNA from 1 species
UACAGAGGGUGCGAGCGUUAAUCGGAAUUACUGGGCGUAAAGGGCGCGUAGGCGGCCACCGCAAGUCAGUUGUGAAAGCUCUGGGCUUAACCCAGAAAGGUCAGCUGAUACUGCGGGGCUAGAGUGCAGAAGGGGCAACUGGAAUUCUCGGUGUAGCGGUGAAAUGCGUAGAUAUCGAGAGGAACACCUGCGGCGAAGGCGUGUUGCUGGGCUGACACUGACGCUGACAGCGCGAAAGCUAGGGGAGCGAACGGG